rnacentral:lncRNA from 1 species
UCUCCAAACUCUCGCGCAUGGGAGACAUUACUUCCGGGCAAAGCACAGGCAGCUGGCGUGACUGGACCAACAUGUAAAGUAGGUUUAGUUCUGUAGUGCUACACAUUCACCAACUCUGUUUGAAAAAAAUCCCAUGUUGGUAUAUUAUGGAAAUUUUAAACAAAGUAGAAUAGGCGUGACAUGCAGCAUUUUUUUUCCUUCUCACCUAACGAUAAACAUUUGCGUUUUGAUCCAGAAAUGUCUAUAGCCCAGUCAGCUGCCCGUGAUUUGCAUCACGUUCAUGCGCUCGAGUUUGGAGACGACCAGAAGGCGCCAAAACGUAUCUUUAGUUUGCAGGUGGACAAUGAAAUUAAACUGGACGUGGAUGCAGGUCAUGAAUUCAUAUCAGGAAGAUAUUGGGUAAGCUCAGGGGUGAAAGUAAGGCGUUACGGUUCGGUACGGCGUCUCUGCAAAAUAAAUAGUGGGGGUACGCUAUACCGUGUCAAGAAUGGUCCACCAUCCAAAGGACAUCGAGCCAACUUAACAACUGUGGGAAGCAUUGGAGUCAACAUGGGCCAGCAUCCCUGUGGAACGCUUUCAACACCUUGUAGAGUCCAUGUCCCGACGAAUUGAGGCUGUUCUGAGGGCAAAUGGGGUGCAACUGGGGAUCUGCAGCUCAGUGAUCCAUCACCCUCUCUAGCAUCUCACCCACCCUUUGCUGUCAAGCUGUAUUUGUGUGUUAGAACAGUACAGCGAGCGGACCAGUGUCGCUGGUUUAAAUCCCAAGUCUGAUGGGAAACUAAUCGAGUGGGAAUCUAGACUGACAAGAUACUGAGAUGUUGAAAGAGGACGUGGGUCCAUGCAUCCCAACUGUACAGGACAAUAACCCACCACACCUCCAGGCUGUGUAAGAGCUAUUUUACAAAGGAGAGUAAUGGAGUGCUGCAUCAGAUGACCUGGCCUCCACAGUCCCCGACUUCAACCAAAUUGAGAUGGUUUGGGGUGAGUCGGACAACAGAGUGAAGGAAAAGCAGCCAACAAGUGCUCAGCAUAUGUGGGAACUCCUUCAAGACUGUUGGAAAAGCAUUCCAGAGGCAGACUGUGGCGGCCCCCCUGCUCUGUUUGGACAAGUUUGCAGAGCCCAGGGCCCUUUCCGGGGAACACGUCUCAGCCAAAGAGACAAAUUUGCUUCCGCAUUGUCCCCUCCCCUUUUUUACCGUUUAACUGAAACCAGGGAGCGCAAGCGAACCUUACCGAUGUCAUCCAAUCACGGAGAUGUCCGCCCUCCUAGGAAACUACAGUUGACACUCCAGGACUCGACUUCCCAGAGCAUGGAAACGGCAUGCAAGAUGUAACACAAAUACUGUCCGAAGCUCCACCAAUGGGCUACUCUGCAGCUAGGAACAAAGGCAGAGAAGAGGUCACAACAGCUGGACAUAGAUUAUCUCGUAUGUCCAGCUGGAGGUCGGCUCCAUCCUCAAAGCCACUCUAACCCCGCCCUACUCUGUACUCUACUGCAUCUCCUGACACACCUGCUAGUGCCCCUGGCCUGACCCAUCCAUUAACCGUUUCAAGUAACUUUCACACACACACACACACACACACACACAAUGAGAGCCCAGGUGCUCCCUCACCUCCACCUAUACGUCUCAGAUGCUCUGCUUUAACUGCGAGGCGUCUGUCAGGGUUAUGGAUGCGUCUGUUCCAUCGUCUGUCUUCCUGAUCCUCACACUUACCCUCCUCAGAGGCCUGACUGAUGGCUGCCCUGACCACUGGCCUGCAGGGCUCUGAGGAGCCACCGUGCGUGAGUGUGUGUGUCUGUGUGUGCGCGUGCGGCUGCAGAAGAGACGUUUGGGGAAAGUUCAGGUGAGAUGAUGAUGAUAUGAAAAUAAACUUGAUUUGAAUACUCAGUCAAAUGUGCUGCAGAGCCCUCUCUCUCUAGCGGUAUGAGAGAGGGAGAUGGAGAAGGUGACCUGUUAAUUAAGUCAACCUUAGUCUCAACGCAAUGUUCUGCAUUUGUUAACAGCUGAUUCUGUGUAGUGUAAUAAAGUUCUCUACACCACUAUCUAUUUUGAAUGAUAGUGAGUUCCAUAGAAUUUCGUUGUGUUUUAGUUUCUGUGAAAAUUGAAUUAGAUUGGAAUUCUAUGAUGUAUUUUACUGGGAAAGAAUGGAGUCAUGUGGAAGACCUGAUAGUUCUAUCCAUUAACCUCCCGUCUGUUAAAUUAUGUGGUAGUAAUGUAGCAGAAUUUUAAUGUGACUGAAAUAUGCCCAGAGAUAUGACUUUUUCAUGGUUUCCACUGGCUACUCUUGCAUAUUUGAUACUGUACAUAAAUUAGACUUGUGUGAGAUCUGAAUUCAAUAUAGGAGCACAGCUCUACAUAUCUCCAUACCAUUUCACUAUAGAAACAUCAUUCAUUUUACAUACAAUCAUUUGUAUUAAUAUAUAAUAUGGCUCUUACCAUGAUCUGAGGAGAAAAAUAAACUUUAGUUAUUGAAUUUUUAUACGAACUGAAAUUACUUUAACUUGUGUCUUGAGCUAUUUUUGUGUUGAUUUAUUGUCUUGAUUCAUACUGUAAGAAAACCGCUGGAUAAUAUUUUGAGUAAACAAACUAGCAUUGAAGAGACAACCC